rnacentral:lncRNA from 1 species
GAGUAUAGUGAUUACAUGUCAUGGCAGGAGUAUAGUAAUGACAUUUCAUGGCAGGAGUAUAGUGAUUACAUGUCAUGGCAGGAGUAUAGUAAUGACAUUUCAUGGCAGGAGUAUAGUGAUUACAUGUUCAUGGCAGGAGUAGUGUAUGUGUUACAUGUCAUGGCAGGAGUAUAUGAUUACAUGUCAAGCAGGACUAUAGUAUGACAUGUCAUGGCAGGAGUAUUAGAUGACAUUUCAUGGCAGGAGUAUAGUGAUUACAUGUCAUGGCAGGAGUAGGGUGACAUGUCAUGGCUGGAGUAUAGUAAUUACAUGUCAUGGCAGGAGAUAGUAAUGACAUUUCAUGGCAGGAGUAUAGUGAUUACAUGUCAGGCAGGAGUAUGUGAUGACAUUUUCAUGGCAGGGUAUAUAUUACAUGCCAUGGCAGGAGUAUAGUGAUACAUGUCAUGGCAGGAGAGUAUAGUAAUGACAUGUCAUGGCAGGAGUAUAGUGAUGACAUGUCAUGGCUGGAGUAUAGGGAUGACAUUUCAUGGCAGAGUAUAGUAUUACAUGCCAUGGCAGGAGUAUAGUGUAACAUGUCAUGGCAGGAGUAUAGUAAUGACAUGUCAUGGCAGGAGUAUAGUGAUGACAUGUCAUGGCUGGAGUAUAGUAAUUACAUGUCAUGGCAGGAGUAUAGUGAUUACAUGUCAUGGCAGGAGUAUAGUGAUGACAUGUCAUGGCAGGAGUAUAGUAAUUACAUGUCAUGGCAGGAGUAUAGUAAUGACAUGUCAUGGCAGGAGUAUAGUAAUUUCAUGUCAUGGCAGGAGUAUAGUGAUUACAUGUCAUGGCAGGAGUGUAGUAAUGACAUGCCAUGGCAGGAGUAUAGUAAUUACAUGUGCUGCUCAUUCUAUGUACUACUGUAAUGUUCCUUCGUGAGACUUGGUGUGAGACUGUGUGGACCGCCACUGCCUUAUCAGUUAGAGUAGUGAGAGUCUUCAAUGCCAGACCCACUGUUCCUUUAAUAUGAGCCUAAUGUUGUUGUUUAGCAGGAGUGAUUUGAUACCACAUACCAGUGAGUGUCUCCUGAGUCCUGCCCGUCUCAGAUGGCAUUCACCACCUGUGUCAGGGAAAUGCCAAUACAGACUUGAUCGUUCAGUCAUUCGAUGCUUGAAAACUGAUCUUAUGUUACUGCUCACAUGUCAUAAGAAAUCAACAUGUUGUAUUGCUCUUUCCUGUAUCACUGUCAUUGAAACGGCCGCUUUUAAACCUAAAUAAAUGGAUGGCGUUAAAACCACAUCUAUCCCAGGUAUAGAUGUAUUCUGAAUGUGUCUAUCCUUCAGGUUACUAUGGAGAAGGAAAAGUGAUCAGCUCUCUUCUCUCACACAAGGUAUCACCUUACCAAGGGCACUUUGUUAAAUUGUUAGUUGACUGGCCCUUAUCUCCACUGGAGUGUGUAGUGUCUGAAUAAUGGAUGUUGUUUUAACAGAUCAGACACCAAUCACACACUUCUGCUGUUAACAUACAACAUAAUACAUUGUCUCUAAACCUAUGUGACAUUAUAAACAUGUCACUGGUCCAUGGCUAUAUCUGUCAUCUUAAUAAAAAAGAAGCAAUAGGGACUAAGACAUAUUUUGCUUAUUUUUUAUGCAUAGCAAUUACAAAGAGCAAAGGACAUUUUCUCAUUGAAAUUAUAGUGUGUAGUCUUGUAUAUAAAAAUGCCAAAGAUGUAUGGGACCACACGUACUUCAUGUACUUGACUGACUUCAUAUCUCUGAUGUGUGACUGUUGUUUUAUAUGAAAUCAUAAUAUAAAAUAUAACUUGUCUAUUUUGUUUUGCAAUCAUUUAUACAGAGGACUUAGAUAGUUUUGCUAAAUCAAGUUCUCUUCUCCACAGUCAUGUGAUUUUUUGUUUUUGGACAUGAUCAUAUUUUUCUUGCGCAACCUUUAGAUAACAUUUCCUACCACUAUCUUAUCUGUAGAUUUGUCAAAGAAAUGGACGACUGUGCAGGAGCUCCGCUUAAUCAUAACUCUGCUAGUUGUAGAUAUGGUUUGGGUGGGUAUACAAAUGUUUUGGCUGCCGGUAUAAUAAGUGCAAUUGAUAGCUGUUUUUUUUUCUCUCUUGGUGCAUCAGUGUUUUUAUUCCCACCCUUGUUUGAAGAGAAAUUUAUGUGAGAAGUCACUUUUACAAAAAGCAUAUAGACAUUUCUUUGGUUCACUCUUGCCUGUAAAGCUUUAGGGAAAGGUUUCAUAAGAUUGUAGCCUAUGCUUACUAUACAUUCACUCAAACGGUGUACUGCAUAUUGUGUGUGGACAUACAGUACUGUAUAUUUAACUGUGAGUGAGAGAGGACUUACAACAUAUACAUACUGUGUAUAUUACAGUAGCCCUCUUCAUGGAUGUUGCUGUCACACGUGGGGAGGGUUAGUGUAUCACUCCCUGCAUCAACUCUCUCCUCCCUGUAUGUUUUGUCUCUCAUAUCUGCAUAAGGGCUAUAGUAACCUCAGAGCAGAACCACAGCCCUAUGACAGACACACAGGAACUGAUGUGCACAGGAAGGAUGCUUGUGUUUUUCAUACCACAGGUGCAGGCCUCAUUUCACAGUAGAAAUACAGCACUUAAAGGAAAACCCCAUCCAAAAACAAUAUUUUGUUAUUUGUUUCAUUUGUCCAUUUCUAGUCCCAAAAUGUCCCAAAAAGUUUUCAAGAUGAAUAACUUUCAAAAUAGAGAAACACAGCCAGUAUGAGGCAUCUUUCAUCACAUGAUGCUAAAAACAACGCAGCACCUCAGUACACAGUACCUCAGGAUGACCACAUGACAUGAUUCAAUGUUUCUUCAUUAGGAGCUGUGCAUUUGGGUUGCUAAAAUAUAUUUUUCCCAUGUCAUGGGAGACAUAAAGCAUAUGGAUGAGUGGUUAUUAAACUCUGACACCUAAUAAGUAUUGAAAACUGAAAACCAACAACAGAUUAUAAUCUGGCACCAUCUACUGGACAUUUUAGAAAUUCAAAUAGUGAUUCCUUUGAUAAUAUCUUUGUGUUUUUCCUUAUUUGUGUUGAACAAUAUCAGAUUGAUUACAUUUGUAUCACUAAAUAAUAAAAAUGGUUUAAAACUACUUAAUUUGAUUUUACACUGAACAAAAAUAUAAACGAAACAUGCAACAAUUUCAAAGAUUUUACUGAGUUACAGCUCAUAAAAGUAAAUCAGUCAAUUGAAAUUCAUUACGCACUAAUCUAUGGAUUUCAUAUGAUUGGGAAUGCAGAUACACAUAUGUCAG